AUGAACGCUGGCGGCGUGCCUAAUACCUGCAAGUCGAGCGAACAGACGAGGAGCUUGCUCCUCUGACGUUAGCGGCGGACGGGUGAGUAACACGUGGAUAACCUACCUAUAAGACUGGGAUAACUUCGGGAAACCGGAGCUAAUACCGGAUAAUAUAUUGAACCGCAUGGUUCAAUAGUGAAAGACGGUUUUGCUGUCACUUAUAGAUGGAUCCGCGCCGCAUUAGCUAGUUGGUAAGGUAACGGCUUACCAAGGCAACGAUGCGUAGCCGACCUGAGAGGGUGAUCGGCCACACUGGAACUGAGACACGGUCCAGACUCCUGCGGGAGGCAGCAGUAGGGAAUCUUCCGCAAUGGGCGAAAGCUUGACGGAGCAACGCCGCGUGAGUGAUGAAGGUCUUCGGAUCGUAAAACUCUGUUAUUAGGGAAGAACAAAUGUGUAAGUAACUAUGCACGUCUUGACGGUACCUAAUCAGAAAGCCACGGCUAACUACGUG
rnacentral:rRNA from 1 species